ensembl:lncRNA
UAGGAUAGACGGAAUGUGUCGUUUCUGUUGUGUAUUUUACUUGUAAAAUAAUUUUGUGAAAGAUGAGCAAAUUAGCACGUUUUUGUCGUGUGUGCUGUCGCCAUUUUAUCUUCUUAUGGAGGUACAUGCUUAUGUUAUUUUCUCAUGUUAGGUGUGUCGUGAAGAUAAACCCUGUAUGAUGACGUUUUGCUCUUUUGGAACUUUAGAUGUUCAGCUUGUCUGCGGGACGAAUAAACUUGAGUUCAACAAGAUACGCUGGUGUCCAGUGCACCAGAACACAACGCAGUGUAGCCGGGCUAGGCAGAACGGUCCGGUUACAUAUCUACACUGAACAAAAUUAUGUAUUGGCUUUACAUAAAAUAUAUAUGCACCAUUUUUGCUUUUGCUCCAGUUUUUCACUGAAUAUUUGCAUAUCAUGUCACUCACAGUCAUACUUUAAGUUAGGUUUAUUUAACCUUAACCUAACCGUAAUUAUAGCUGACGUGACGUGACUUGUCAGGCAGUGCCUAUCCAGCUUGUUCUUAAGUGGUUGUAAGAGCAUUUCAGCUAGAUCAGACAUAUGAUAUGUCAAAAAUCCACUUGAACUUAACCACACCCCUUAAGGGUGACCACAUUCCAACUUUAGCACACAGCCUCAGAAUGUAGCCCAGAAUAUGCAUUUGAAGUUUUGUGUUUAUUCAUCUAUCAUGUGUUACAGCUGUUUGAUUAAAUUAAGUCCCGUCUUGGAAUGAUUGAUCAGUAAGCAGUGGCCACAUUCUUUACAAAUUUCCGAAUCCGCCCCAUUAGAAUUGAUUCAGGUUGCCGGCAUAUUGUUCAUAAGUCUCAACAUGUUAUCAAAGGAGAAACUCUCCUGAGCCAUUUGACAUCAACUUUGAGUAGAUGGGCCAAAAACCUAGGACUAGUUCCCAAAAGUAGGUUUUGCAUAUUAUGUAAAUUAGCAAAAAAAAUCUAAGUGGGUUGAGCUGAGUGAGCUAAUAAAGACUAGAGGGUGUGUAGGGAUUGCAACCUUUUGAAGAGGCAGUAUCAGGUUGUAUCGGGUUAUCUGAAGUGGCCACUAAUAAUGCCUUGCACACACAGCUAAUUUUUUUCCUUUUCAGUGUCUGAGAGCGUGACUUAAUCAAAUCUAUAAGUGGAUCAUUGCUAUGAAGUUACUGUAUGGGCAGUUUCUCAGUAGCUAUAACCUGCUUUCAGCAGGUAGCUAAUUGAGCUUUGUCAUUUCAAAGAUCAACCUGAAAAUAGCAUGUCCAUUUAUCAACCUUUAUCUGUGGCAGAAAUGUCUCAUCAUGGAGACAGCAGUUAGAGGUGCAGCUACCAUACAC